CGUAGUUUAGCAAGCUAAAGAGAGAGUCGUGUUGCACCACGUGACCGUGUGUUUUCACCACCAAUUGGACGAGUCAUUCAUUGUUAUUGUAAAAAGAGGCGUGUCUGGUCUAGUGUCGUUAUGAAAUGUUACACUAGCUUAACUCCACUUAAAUCAAACGUAGCUAAUAUCUAUCUACCGUUUGGCUCGUUAAAGGACUUCAAGAAUACACAAAGGGCUCUUCUGAAAUAUUUUGGAGCACCCUCUGGCACUGGCCAGGAUGAGGAGCCAUCCACCUCCUCGGCCACACAGGUGUCUUCACAAAUGUUGUCUGAGCCUGAGGAUGGGGAUGAAGCCCCAUUUGCUUCCACUUCUCCCCAGCAGGAUUCUUCAGAAAUGCCUGCAGCAGCAUCCCCACCAAAUCCUGCUGCUGAGGAUGAGCCACUGGCUACAGACCCUGCUGACUGGUCUUCAGUUCUGACUGACAGAAGUCGGACACAACUAGUUUGCAGAGGACCAAGUGAGGUACCACCUGACUUUGUUUUCCCAAGGAAUGAGAGUGAUGGAAGAAGUUGCCACCACCAGUAUUUCAGGAAAACCUUGGUGAGUGGUAAAUAAAAUCCCUAGAAGUUGGUUGGUGUUGUCAUGUCUUUGGCUAUGCCGGAUUAAGUGAUAUGACAUGCUAUUCUAUAAAAUCAUUUCUCUGUAGUUAAUAUUAACUGAUUAAGCUAAUCAGGUAAAUAAUUAACUAGAAAGUCAGGGCACCACAAAAUAAUGUUUAUAGAGCUGUUAUCUUCCAAAUAAACUUUUAAAGACCUGGUAAUAUUUUACAUCAAUAACAGUCAAUAUUCAAUCUUCACCUCGUUUCAGUCUCAUCUGAAAGUUGUAAAUUCUUGGUUAUCUUCACGAACCCUGGCAAACAAGUUGAAUCAGCAAUUCAAACUUUGGUUUAAUUAUUUAUUUACUAAAUAACUAAAUAAAUCACACAGAAUGACAAACAGAAUGGAUCAUACAUUGAUUACUAAUUAUGUCCUACAAGAAACCGUCCCUGGGGGACGGAACCUGUAUGAUGGCUGGUUACACAAAGACAGGGGGUUGGGCUUGAAUGAAAGCGUGGGAGGACUGAAGAACAAAGGGAGAAGCUAUGCUAUCGUAAAUACAGAAUCUUAUGCGUUCUAAAUAACCGCCCAUUUGAAAAAGGAAAAUGCAAUAAUUAUUUACUCUGAGCUGCGCUUCGGUAGGUUGGUCGUAGAUGCUGGCCGUGUUGCCCAACAGAUCUUCCUUGUCCUUUGAAGAGUGUCUCUGGUGGCAAACUGAAUACUUGGUAGUAUCGUGUUGUUUGUUAGAAUAGAUCCUUUGUCCGUCGUUUCCUAGCCCACGUUUACAGCGGCCGCUGACAACUCAACGGCUAGGAGG